rnacentral:rRNA from 1 species
AGUGAACGCUGGCGGUAGGCCUAACACAUGCAAGUCGAACGGCAGCACAGUAGGAGCUUGCUCUUACGGGUGGCGAGUGGCGGACGGGUGAGGAAUACAUCGGAAUCUACUUUUUCGUGGGGGAUAACGUAGGGAAACUUACGCUAAUACCGCAUACGACCUACGGGUGAAAGCAGGGGAUCUUCGGACCUUGCGCGAUUGAAUGAGCCGAUGUCGGAUUAGCUAGUUGGCGGGGUAAAGGCCCACCAAGGCGACGAUCCGUAGCUGGUCUGAGAGGAUGAUCAGCCACACUGGAACUGAGACACGGUCCAGACUACUACGGGAGGCAGCAGUGGGGAAUAUUGGACAAUGGGCGCAAGCCUGAUCCAGCCAUACCGCGUGGGUGAAGAAGGCCUUCGGGUUGUAAAGCCCUUUUGUUGGGAAAGAAAAGCAGCAGGUUAAUACCCCGCUGUUCUGACGGUACCAAAAGAAUAAGCACCGGCUAACUUCGUG